rnacentral:rRNA from 1 species
GACAGAGGGUGCAAACGUUGUUCGGAAUUACUGGGCGUAAAGCGAGUGUAGGCGGUCUGCUGAGUCGGGUGUGAAAGCCCUGGGCUCAACCCAGGAAGUGCACUCGAAACUGGCAGGCUAGAGUACUGGAGAGGUUGGUGGAAUUCUCGGUGUAGAGGUGAAAUUCGUAGAUAUCCGGAGGAACACCGGUGGCGAAGGCGGCUUCCUGGACCGACACUGACGCUGAGGCGCGAAAGCUAGGGGAGCAAACGGG